GUGGGGAAUCUUCCGCAAUGGACGAAAGUCUGACGGAGCGACGCCGCGUGAGUGAAGAAGGCCUUCGGGUCGUAAAGCUCUGUCAUCAGGGACGAACGGCCGGUGGAGUGGAAAGCCACCGGAUUGACGGUACCUGAGAAGGAAGCCACGGCUAACUACGUGCCAGCAGCCGCGGUAAUACGUAGGUGGCAAGCGUUGUCCGGAAUUAUUGGGCGUAAAGCGCGCGCAGGUGGGAUCUUAAGUCCAUUUUUAUAGUUCGGAGCUCAACUCCGUGAUGGGAUGGAAACUGGGAGUCUUGAGUACCGGAGAGGAAAGCGGAAUUCCCCGUGUAGCGGUGAAAUGCGUAGAUAUGGGGAGGAACACCAGUGGCGAAGGCGGCUUUCUGGACGGUGUCUGACACUGAGGCGCGAAAGCCAGGGGAGCGAACGGGAUUAGAAACCCUGGUAGUCC
rnacentral:rRNA from 1 species